CACAUGACAUGAGCAAGGUAAAUCCCAAUCCCUUGCUGAUUUCAGCAUACAUACGAUCGUCCCGAGAAUUUGGAUUCGGCCCAUAUUGGACCGACUUACUUCAAGUAAGGAAGCUAUAGAUGCAGAUGGUAUGGAUAUGCCAAUACGCACGAUUAUGCGUAUAGAUCGAACUGUCUGCGGGGUUUGGCAGCGGUCGAGGCCAACACGAGGCUGGUUACCACCUAGUGGAUAUACGAACGUAGCGGACGAGUCUAGGGUUCCUGAUCUGUCACCUGUCAAAAAUAGACGGAAAUGAGCUAUCCGUCUAUAUUGUGACUAUCGCCCUGUACCGUACUUGAUAUCUUAAUCCAGGAGAAUGUCGAACCUCGUUUCUGGGUCUUCCUGGAGUGGCACAUUGAUACAUCCAAACCCAGGUUAUUGGAACCUAUCUCGCAUUUAUUCCACCUAAAAGCAUACAUUUGCAUUCGCAUUCACAUCUUUUUCUCGGGAUUCGGUUUCACAUGCUUUUCAAGUCGAUGAUGCAAGGGAUGUGAAGAUUUGGCAGUGAAACCAGAUAACAUUCUUCACACUUCCCGCCGUCAAUUUUUUGUAGUACGUACGACGACGUACAUGGGUGAAUGGCAAUUGCGCGUGUCGAUUUAACCAAGCUUUCUCUUGGGUUUUGCAAACAUAACUGACUCGCGAUUUAGAAAGACGUAUGUGCAUGACAUGCCCAGGCAAUCUCGGUUAAGCGCAGCACUGCAGAAAAGGGGGUGUUCAAUAUCGACGUCGAUCGUAUGACGGGAGUUGACAUUUGUCUCAUUCUCGUCUGGUUCUGGGAGUGACGGAAAAAUAUGUAGGUACCUGGGUAUUCAUUACGUCAAUAACUGUGGCCAUAAUGACACCAAAAGGCCAGCGUGAUAGCUCUUCGAUGCGCGACUGACUAGGAAGAGGCACUACUCAAUGUCAUGAAGAGCUUCCAAUUCGAGACGACCAUCAGCAUCCGGUCAACCCUCUCUUAAGAUUUGGUCGGCAACCCGUCGGCAAUACCAGGGAUAAUGCCAGGCUGUAUGCUGUCCGGCCCUUGAUCCUGAAGGGUCUGUAGACUGCCUGAGGGGGCAGUUACUGCACGUAGUAGUACCUACAGAGUAUAUAUCGUGACCGUUUUAUGG
rnacentral:lncRNA from 1 species